rnacentral:rRNA from 1 species
AGAUUGAACGCUGGCGGCGUGCCUAACACAUGCAAGUCGAGCGGUAACAGGUGUAGCAAUACAUGCUGACGAGCGGCGAACGGGUGAGUAAUGCUUUGGAAUCUUCCCAGUAGUGGGGAAUAACCAGUCGAAAGAUUGGCUAAUACCGCAUACGUCCGGAAGGGGAAAGCGGGGGAUCGUAAGACCUCGCGCUAUUGGAUGAGCCAAAGUCGGAUUAGCUAGUUGGUGGGGUAAUGGCCUACCAAGGCGACAAUCCGUAGCUGGUCUGAGAGGACGACCAGCCACACCGGAACUGAGACACGGUCCGGACUCCUACGGGAGGCAGCAGUGGGGAAUAUUGGACAAUGGGGGAAACCCUGAUCCAGCGACGCCGCGUGUGUGAAGAAGGCCUGCGGGUUGUAAAGCACUUUUAGUGGGGACAAAAGCCACGGGCUAAGUACCCGGUGGUCUUGAUUUAACCCAAAGAAAAGCACCGGCUAACUCUGCGCCAGCAGCCGCGGU